GGCGGCAGUGCUGGAGCUCCUCCUGCGGACCAGCUACCCGGGGACCAAGCACAUUGCUCCGCACCGCUCUUCCUCCAGCCGCUGAGCAGUCCCUUCUCGCCAUGUCCCAGAGCAGGUACCCGCCGAGGCUCUGCCGCUGGAGCGCAAGGACAGUGGGACCUUCAGUUUGGGGAAGAUGAUAACAGCUAUGCCAGGGAAAACACCGAUUCAGGUAUUACACGAAUAGGGCAUGAAGACCAAGAACAUCCCGGUUUAUGAAUGUGAAAGAUCUGAUGUGCAAAUACACGUGCCCACUUUCACCUUCAGAGUAACCGUUGGUGACAUAACCUGCAGAGGUGAAGGUACAGGUAAGAAGCUGGUGAAACAUAGAGCUGCAGAGGCUGCCAUAAACAUUUGGAAAGACAAUGCAAGUAUUUGCUUUGCAGUUCCUGACCCCUUAAUGUCUGACCCUUCCAAGCAACCAAAGAACCAGCUCAAUCCUGUUGGUUCUUUACAGGAAUUGGCUUUUCAUCAUGGCUGGAGACGUCCUGAAUAUACCCUUUCCCAGGAGGGAGGACCUGCUCAUAAGAGAGAAUAUACCACAGUUUGCAGGCUAGAGGCAUUUAUGGAAACUGGAAAGGGGGCAUCAAAAAAGCAAGCCAAAAGGAAUGCUGCUGAGAAAUUUCUUGCCAAAUUUAGUAAUAUUUCUCCAGAGAACCACAUUUCUUUAACAAAUGUAGUGGGACAUUCUUUAGGAUGUACUUGGCAUUCCAUGAGGAAUUCUCCUGGUGAAAAGAUCAACUUACUGAAAAGAAGCCUCCUUAGUAUUCCAAAUACAGAUUACAUCCAGCCGCUUAGUGAAAUUGCCAAGGAACAAGGUUUUAAUAUAACAUAUUUGGAUAUAGAUAAACUGAGCGCCAAUGGACAGUAUCAAUGUCUUGCUGAACUGUCCACCAACCCCAUCACGGUCUGUCAUGGCUCCGGUAUCUCCUGCGGCAAUGCAUAAAGUGAUGCAGCUCACAAUACUUUGCAGUAUUUAAAGAUAAUAGCAGAAAGAAAGUAAAUUUGGAGCAACUUUAAAAAUCUUUCAGUAGCACAUAAAAAGUUCCCCUCUGGCCCCCUCCCAAGUAAAACUUUUACCAUAGUGUUUGAGUUUAUGUCUUGUUUCUAAAUCUCUUCAUAGAUUCCAUCAGCACUCCAGAUGUAAUUGUCUCCUCGUGGUUGUUAUUAAGCUCUUUUUAAUGGCUUCAACUUUGUAUCGGUAUAUUGUAUUUAUAAACUUUGUACCACAAGACAGAGUGUAGCACCCAUUUUACAGUGCCAUGCACAUCAGAGAAAGAAACUGCAUGUUUGUUGUUGACGAUGAAAUAAAAAUGCUAGCAACAGUC